rnacentral:rRNA from 1 species
ACGAACGCUGGCGGCGUGCUUAACACAUGCAAGUCGAACGGUGAAGCGCCUUCCUUUUUGGUGGGUGUGGAUGAGUGGCGAACGGGUGAGUAACACGUGAGUAACCUGCCCCCUUCUUCUGGAUAACCGCAUGAAAGUGUGGCUAAUACGGGAUAUUCUGGGUCUGUCGCAUGAUGGGUCUGGGAAAGAUAUUGUUUCGGGGGGGGAUGGGCUCGCGGCCUGUCAGCUUGUUGGUGGGGUGAUGGCCUACCAAGGCGGUGACGGGUAGCCGGCCUGAGAGGGUGGACGGUCACACUGGGACUGAGACACGGCCCAGACUCCUACGGGAGGCAGCAGUGGGGAAUAUUGCACAAUGGGCGCAAGCCUGAUGCAGCGACGCCGCGUGAGGGAUGGAGGCCUUCGGGUUGUGAACCUCUUUCGCCAGUGAAGCAGGCCUGCCUCGUUUGUGGGUGGGUUGACGGUAGCUGGAUAAGAAGCGCCGGCUAACUACGUG